GUUCCGGCCGCGAUCUGCUGCAGCUCGGCCGGGAGACAGCGCGACCCGGCGGCGGGGCCACCCGCGAGUCCAGCGUCGCCGCAGCCCCCCAAUGCGGCCGCGAGAAGCAGCGGGGGGGCAGGCGAUCGAAGGACUGUCAAACUAGGAGUGCAUCUCGGGGACACUCAGAAGCACUAGCAGCCUCUAGAAGACCAGCGUUCUCGUGAUUAUGGAGGCCCCUCUGUCCUUUCUGUGACGGGAGCAAUGCCGACCUCAGUUUCCCGGACCCAUUCCGACUCAGGUAAUUACACUGCCUUCCCCAGUUCGCCAUGCCUUACGUA
rnacentral:lncRNA from 1 species